rnacentral:rRNA from 1 species
GGUGAACGCUGGCGGCGUGCUUAAGACAUGCAAGUCGAACGGGCUCUUCGGAGCCAGUGGCGCACGGGUGAGUAACGCGUAACUGACCUACCCCAAAGUCGCGGAUAACGAUUCGAAAGAAUCGCUAAUACGUGAUGUGCUGUCAGAUCCUGUUCUGCCAGUAAAGAUUUAUUGCUUUGGGAUGGGGUUGCGUUCCAUCAGCUAGUUGGUGGGGUAAAGGCCCACUAAGGCGACGACGGAUCGCCGGCCUGAGAGGGUGGCCGGCCACAGGGGCACUGAGACACGGGUCCCACUCCUACGGGAGGCAGCAGUUAGGAAUCUUCCACAAUGGGCGAAAGCCUGAUGGAGCGACGCAGCGUGAGGGAUGAAGGUCUUCGGAUCGUAAACCUCUGAAUCAGGGACGAAAGACGCGAAAGCGGGAUGACGGUACCUGAGUAAUAGCACCGGCUAACUCCGUG